AUUGAACGCUGGCGGCAGGCCUAACACAUGCAAGUCGAACGAUUGGCGGACGGGUGAGUAAUGCCUAGGAAUCUGCCUGGUAGUGGGGGAUAACGUCCGGAAACGGGCGCUAAUACCGCAUACUAUCAGAUGAGCCUAGGUCGGAUUAGCUAGUUGGUGGGGUAAAGGCCUACCAGGGCGACGAUCCGUAACUGGUCUGCGAGGAUGAUCAGCCACACGGGAAUGGAGACACGGUCCAGAUUCCUACGGGAGGCAGCAGUGGGGAAGAUGGGACAAUGGGCGAAAGCCUGAUCAAGCCAUGCCGCGUGUAUGAAGAAGGCCUUCGGGUUGUAAAGUACUUUCAGCGAGGAGGCGUUACUCGCAGAAGAAGCACCGGCUAACUCCGUGCCAGCAGCCGCGGUAAUAC
rnacentral:rRNA from 1 species